UACGUAGGGCGCAAGUGUUAUCCGGAAUCACUGGGCGUAAAGCGUCUGUAGGUGGUUUAAUAAGUCAACUGUUAAAUCUUGAGGCUCAACCUCAAAAUCGCAGUCGAAACUAUUAGGCUAGAGUAUAGUAGGGGUAAAGGGAAUUUCCAGUGGAGCGGUGAAAUGCGUAGAGAUUGGAAAGAACACCGAUGGCGAAGGCACUUUACUGGGCUAUUACUAACACUCAGAGACGAAAGCUAGGGUAGCAAAUGGG
rnacentral:rRNA from 1 species